rnacentral:misc_RNA from 1 species
GAAAUGCGAUAAGUAAUGCGAAUAGCAGAUUGCAGUGAAUCAUCGAAUCUUUGAACGCACAUAGCACCCGGCGGCCAUUCCGCCAGGUCUGCUGGUCAGAGCGUGGUUUCGCCCCUCGAGUCCACCAAGCACUCGGUGUUGGGGAUCUGCAGGGCCCUCAGGGGCGCUGCAGACCCUGAAAUACAGUGGCGGGCCCUACUGGAAUCCCCUGCGCAGUAACAAAUUUCUCGCAUCGGAUGUCGGCGGAGCCUGGCCGUCAACCGGUCGGCGUCCCCCAACGGCGCAGCCCCUUCAGAACGGUCGACCUCGGAUCAGGUAGGGUUACCCGCUAAACUUAA